rnacentral:lncRNA from 1 species
AGCAUUUUUCACAUCUUUAAAUAACUGAAGGAUUGAAGGAUGACCUUACAUUAGGGAAAUAGGGUCCAGCUCAUGUAUUGACUGCAUUUCACAAAGACAAGAUUCUGUUCUCAGUCCCCCAUCCCCAAAGAUCAUGUCUGUACCUCUUUUUAUUGCAGUAUAGUUUAUUUACAAUGUCAGGUUAGUUUCAGGUAUACAGUAAACUGAUUCAUUUGUACAUAUAUAUGUAUAAAUAUAUAUAUAUAUAUUCUUUCUUUAUAUUCUCUUCCAUUAUAUGUUAUUAUAAAAUAUUGAGUAUAGUUCCCUAUGCUAUACAGUAGGUCCUUGUUGGCUAUUUUAUGUAUGGUUGUAUGUAUAUUUUAAUCCCAAUCUCCUAAUUUAUCCUUCUCCCCCAUCCUCUUUGAUAAUCCCAAAUUUCUUUUCUAUGUCUGAGUCUACUCCUGUUUUGUAAAUAAGUUCAUUUGCAUUCUUUUUUUAGAUUCCACAUGAAAGCAAUAUCAUAUAUUUGUCUUUCUCUGACUUACUUGGUAUGAUAAUCUCUAGGUCCAUCCACGUUGCUGAGAAUGGCAUUAUUUCCUUCUUUUUUUAUGCUGGAUUAACUUGCUGUUGUAUAUAUGUUAUACCACAUCUUCUUAAUCUAUUCAUCUGUCGAUGGGCACUUAUGUUGCUUCCAUGUCUUGACUAUUGUAAGUAGUACUGCUGUGAACAUUGGGAUGAAUGUAUCUUUUCAAGUUAUGGUUUUCUCUGGAUAUAUGCCCAGGAGUGGGUUUGCAGGAUCAUAUGGUAGCUCUGAUUUUAGUCUUUUAAGAACCCUCCAUACUGUUCUCCAUAGUGGUUGCACCAAUUUAUAGUCCUGUUGACAAUGUACGAGGGUUCUUUUCUCUCCACACCCUCUCCACCAUUUUGUAGACUUUUUGAUGAUGGCCAUUCUGACUGGUGUGAGAUGAUACAUCAUUGUAGUUUUGAUUUGCAUUUCUCUAAUAAUUAGCAGCGUUGAGUAUCUUUUCAUGUGCCUGUUGGCCAUCUGUAUGUCUUCUUUGGGAAAAUGUCUAUUAAGGUUUUCUGCACAUUUUUUGUUUGUAUUUUUUUGUUAUUGAGUUGUAUGAACUAUUUGCAUAUUUGGGAAAUUAAACACUUGUCAGUCCCAUCAUUUGAGAAUAUUCUUUCUUAGUCCUUAGGUUUUUUUGUUCUGUUUAUGGUUUUCUUUGCUGUGUAAAAGCUUGUAAGUUUGAUUUGGUCCCAUUUGUUUAUUUUUCAUUGUAUUUCCAUUACUAUAGGAGACAGAGCCAAAAGAUAUUGCUAGUAAAAAUUCAGCAUGAGACUGUUAUUCUAAUAGAUAUUUAACAUGAAAGGUGUGUGUGAUAUCACUAGAGUGAAUGGGACCAGAUUUUCUCAGAGAAUGAAAAAAUUUUCAAUGUAUAGAUGAUAAAUAUCAAGAAACAGUUCAUGAUGAUAGAAGUUACUGAAUGAAAAUAUUUGUUUAAAUUCUUAAAUUUCCCCAAAUGCUUCUUUAUGCAAGAAGAAUCACAUUUAUCUUUGACUUCAGACAUUUGACUCCAAUAUUAUUUUAUGUUUUCUACUUAAGCAGGUAUUACUAAUGUCGAUGCUGGUUAAAGUGCCCAAAUACACUUUAUAAAUUCAAACUGAUGACAUUAUUUUACAUGGAAGGCCCUCACACAUAGAAAUCAAGUACAAAGUUAUAUAGCCUGUUCUUUAAACUUUGAAAUAUAUCUUUGAAUACAGUGCAAACUGUAGCAAAAAGUGACCAGUACAUUUGUCUGAGGUUAUGCCUGACACAAACAAAUGUUCAUGUAUAUACUCUGUGUAAAAUACAAUUUUAAAGUAUUUAUUUAUGUUCCUAGUAGAGUUUGAGGCUUAAAAUAGGUAUUAUUAGAUUAUACAUUUUAUAAUAAUAAACAGCCUCUUCUCAGUUAUUCCAUUUACUUUUCAAGGAAUUUUAUAAUUAAAAAUACUAAAUUGGUAAAAUUAAUGUAAUAAUAGAUUUGGGGAAGGUUAAAACAUAAUUUGUGAAGAAAUAGGUUAAAACCCUGAAAAUCUUGACUUUAAUAUUUUAAUAAAUUAAAUUACAUUUGAAUUUUUCUUAUAUUUACUGUUUUGGCGAGGAAAAGAUGAUUCAAAACUAUGUUUUUAGAAUUGCUUGAAAUUACCAGUUUCAAAGUAGAACAUAGGUUCUUACUUGCAAGAGAACAACUUCUGUAGAAUGUGUAUCUAAGUUUUUCUGAAAUUCUCUAGUCGUAAGUUAGAUUUUUAAAAUAUAAUUUGUACUUAAAUUAAAAAUUACAAAUAUGUAUGCAUUUAACAUUUUAUUCUCUUCAAACAGAAUUAGAGGAAAAACUUGACAUCCCAAUGAUUAAUAAUCAUACUUCUACUUCUAUUGCCCAGAUACAACUUUAAAAAAAAAAAAACAACUAUUGCAUGUCUAAGGUCUUAAAACUUUCCUGGGUUUUUUAGAUACAUUUACUUGGAAAUGCUUUUUGAAGUUUCAUAUUUAGGAUGUAAUGUUAUUAAAUAGGUCUUGUAAUGGCUUCUGUUAUUUCGAUCAUUGGCUUUGCAUCUCAGCCCAACUUCCUCAGUUUCUAAUUGUAGUUUAACACGUACAAUUGAACAAACUAUUAAAAUUUAUUAGAGGACUAUACCUUGAUUUACUUUUAUAGAUUUUGAAGCCCAGGACAUCCCGUGGUAGCAUUUGUUUGUGGGACGAAAUAAAGCUGUGUGCAUGUGGAUAUAUGUGUAUUUGUUAGAAUGCUUUUUUUUUUCCCCCAAUGUUACAAACUUAGGAGAAAAAAAAUCCCUGCAUUCUCAAUUUGUAGACGUUGUAAAGUGUUUAAUUACUUUUGCCACAGUUAAAGGUACACAUUUUAAAAAACAUAAUAGGAUUUGAUUUAAAAUUCUUUGGUGAGAUUGCUCAUGAUGUCCUAGUUUGGGAAAGUUAAUGUGGGAUAUAUUCAAAUGAUUCCAUCUGUAAUGAGGAAAAUGCAGAUAAGUACCUGUCUUUCUUAUCAAGUGUUUAAGAAUUUUAAAAAAACCCUGCAUGUUAAAAUUUGAAAAAGCUUUAAAUGCUUUUGAACAUGUGUAAUGCCCUUGGAAUUAUGAUUUAGAUGUAUUCUAAAAGUUUCUGUGAAGAAGCCCUAUCUCAUUUCACAUAUAGUAAUCUGAGAUAAGAUUUUUAAGUGAUCCUAACAAGAUGAUAUACCCAGACAGAGAUACUGCUGGCCAUAUGUCUUAUGUUGCAAUAGUUUUGCUUUUGAUAAGGUUCUUGAAUAAUGUAUUUAUGGAUGGCUGGUUGUAGAGUGAUCUGACUCUUCUUCCUUGAGCAGAAAAUGAAGACUUCCUUAGUUAAGACAGCAAAAAUUCCAUGCGAAAUUUUAUCUUUCAACUUAUGAGAUAGGAAAGAUUACCUUAAGGUUAACUCUAUGUUGAAGGUGGGAUUUUGAGAUCAAGGAAAAUUUUAAUGAGAUGUAUUAUCAGCACUGCUUAUUGUUUUGAUAUUCUUUAAAACAAUUUCUUAUCCAUAGAGGGUAAUGAAAGCUUGGCUCUCCUUUUAAAAACAUGGCCGUUUGAAAACAUCUGCUGAAUAUAUUGAGAUAUAGUGACUGAAUUGAACCAUAUUAGUUACAUAUUUAAAAAUUAUAGCCUUAGUGAUGAGUUGUCAAAAAACACUAUUCAUAUAACUACUUUUGAAAAGUAAACAUGUCAUAACUGUGCAUUUUAUGUUCUGGAUAUUCAUUGUGAUGGAUUUGCAAUGUUGUUGAAGUCAUAAUAGGAUGGGUUUUUUUUUCUGAAACAUUAUGGUGGAAAAGGUUUUGACAUUUCUGCUACAGUGCUUUGUAUAUGUCUUGGGUGUAGUCUAAAAGAUAGUACCCAGGGAAUCAGAAAUACCAGUCUGAAUUAGUGAUGUUUUACAUAAAGCCCUAUUAAUAUACAAUUUAGUUUUAUUUCAAUGAAGAAGUGUGGUUAUAAAAAAAUAUAGAAGCUCAAUUUAGGCUAACUCGGAAUUGCCUUAUAAAUAUCCUAGAUGCAAGCUUUCUUUAGUUUCUGCCUUAUACAGCAAUUGAAUUUAAAUGAAUUCUCCUAAGUUAUUUGAAAAGUUUAUUGUCUUAUUGUCUUAAACAUUUAAAUUUUUCAUUUUGUGAUAAUUUAUGACUUUAAUUAAUGAUAUUCAUGAAACGGUUUGCAAGAUGAGUCAUUGCAAAAUUCAAAUUGUUGAAAUCUGAAUUCCACCAAAUAUAUUUGCAUUCCAUAUCAACAAAUUAGGACAAUAAAUAUUUAUUGGUUGUGUUUUAUGUGUAACAUAAUUGUGGUUCUCCAAAUACUCCUGGAUGCUUUUAAGUCCAAAGAAUAACUUCCUGAAUUGUGGAAUGUAAGCAAGAGAGCAGAUUUUCUGAUUUCCAGACUUUGAGGGAGAGAUUGCAGAACAGUUUUAGGAACAAUGCAAUAUAUUUAAGAAUUAGAGGGAUUGAUGCAUUUAAAAAGAUGAAUUGACCUAAAUAUUUAGCCAUGUGUUUAGAUGCUUAGUCUCAGAGGAUAACUUGGGAUAUUUGAAAGUUAUUAAAGUGAAAGGAAAGGAAAUGUUUAGUGUUCACUGUAGUACAAAUGUGUUGUUAAGAGAAUUACGCAUUAGUUUUGAGAUGCAGUAUAUUCAAAAGAAAAUAUUCUUUUAUAUGGAUUAAGUCUAAUUAGAGCAAAUCAUUAGGCCUUACGAUUCAGACAAGAGCAUUAACAUGGGGAGAAGUAGCUUCAGGGACUGCAUGUGAAUGACACAUCCUACCAACUCAGGUGUCAUCCUAGACCGCUACUGCUUAGAGUGUUCUUUUCCCCUAAUAUUUGUCACCUGAUUAUUGGGGAGGCUUACUUCAUGAAGGCUUUUUAAUGACUGGCAGGCUUUAACUUGUCUCCUGUUAACCUAAUCAUAUGAUAUGGAUGUGAUACUUUUUGAUUAAUAGAAUCAUUAUAUUUGUUCAUUAGGUGUUUAUCAGGUUUUUACUGUGUAUCAGAGACUAUACUAAAUUCUAUGUAAGAAAGUGAGAUUUAUUAAAACCAAUUGUCAGUUCUCUGAGAGCAUAGAGACUAGUAGGAGAUAUGUGGACCACAUAUAGAUGACUACAGUAUAAGAUAAUAGUUGACAAGUUAAAGUCCACUGCUUACUGUUGUAAAUAAAGUUUAACUGAUAUAUAGCCAUAGCCAUUCACUUGUGAAUCAACCUGGGGCUGACUUCGUAUUUCAUACUGCAGUGGCAGAGUUAAGUAGUUAUGACAGAGAUUUUAUGUCCUGCAAAACCUAAAAUAUUUGCUAUUUGACCCUUUCAGAAAAAAAAUUCCUGACCUCUAGUAAAAUACAUUAUCUAUACUUUGUGCUUGGUACUCAAAAUAAUAAAAUGUUUUGCUUUUAUCAUUGCUAAGGAUCUCAUAAGGAUUUCAACCUAAUUCAUCCAAAUAUCAGGAAAAUUACCAGCAUAUGAGUAAAACCAUAGAUACUGAUUCUUCCUUUAUGAUUCCAGCGGUUUGUCAAGUGAUUCCCUCACUCUAAAUAAAACACAGCACUAUUUUUAAUUAAUUAAUGCUUACCUUUUACAGUUAAUCUACAUACUUAUUAUAUUUGUAUAUUUUCCUUUUUGGCUAAAUUCUUUGGGUAUAAAACUUCUUAGUCUUUUUAUUCAACUGCUAAUUAGUAUAUCAUGCAUUAUUUUACCUUUAACUAUGGAGUCGAUAAUACUUAACAUUGGAUGUAAUUUUCAAGCAUCCAAAGCAUUUGUUAAACUUUCCUUCAAUAAAUGAUAACCUUACAAUCUCAUAAAAUUGAUUUACUGAUAAAUUAGCAGUCCUCUUUUGUAGUAUUCUAGUAAGCAGUAAAACAGAAAACUAAAGGGGCUAACUAUAUAAGAACCACAGUUAUAUGCAACUCUCAAAUGUGUAUUACUUGAGAGUUUAUAAUUCUACAUUUAUAUAUAACAUUAUUACUUAUAUAUAUUACUUAUAUAUAACAUUAUUAUAUUCUUGGUAAUAUAAGUUAGAAAAUUAAUGAGUAUAGUUGCACUCAUGUCUAUAGUGCAACUAUAGGAAUCUUACGUUUUUGACAUUGUGAAGUGUCAAAUGGUGUUUUAAACCAAUUUACCAGAACAUUUUGGUUUUCCUCAAGUCAAAUGGAUGAGAAAAUGAAUAAAUGACCUUGAAACUUAUAUUGAAGAUACACUUCACUUGGUUCAUUAGAAUAAGAGCAGACAGUUAUAUGUGCUUUCUAUGUACUAGGUACUUUUCCAUAUCAGCGGUAGGAGAGCCACCAUUUGAACUCAUAUAGUCUCGCAGAACACCCUAAUAAUUUGUUUUUUACAUUUGUUGUUGUUUGUCUUUUUAGGACUGCUCUGGUGGCAUAGGGAAGUUCCCAGGAAAGGGGUUGAAUUGGAGCUGUAGCUGCUGGCUUACACCACAGCCACAGCAACGCCAGAUCUGAGCCACGUCUGCGAUCUACACCACAGCUCACGGCAACGCCAGAUCCUUAACCCACUGAGCCAGGCCAGGGAUCGAACCUGUGUCUUAGUCAGAUUGAUUUCCACUGAGCCAUGACCAGAACUCCUGUUA